rnacentral:rRNA from 1 species
AUUGAACGCUGGCGGCAUGCCUUACACAUGCAAGUCGAACGGCAGCACGGGAGCAAUCCUGGUGGCGAGUGGCGAACGGGUGAGUAAUAUAUCGGAACGUGCCCAGUCGUGGGGGAUAACGCAGCGAAAGCUGUGCUAAUACCGCAUACGAUCUACGGAUGAAAGCGGGGGAUCGCAAGACCUCGCGCGAUUGGAGCGGCCGAUAUCAGAUUAGGUAGUUGGUGGGGUAAAGGCUCACCAAGCCGACGAUCUGUGGCUGGUCUGAGAGGACGACCAGCCACACGGGGACUGAGACACGGCCCAGACUCCGACGGGAGGCAGCAGUGGGGAGUUUUGGACAAUGGGCGAAAGCCUGAUCCAGCCAUGCCGCGUGCAGGAUGAAGGCCUUCGGGUUGUAAACUGCUUUUGUACGGAACGAAAAGGUUUGGCCUAAUAAGCUGAGCUCAUGACGGUACCGUAAGAAUAAGCACCGGCUAACUACGUGCCAGCCGCCGCAGUAA